rnacentral:lncRNA from 1 species
AACACCGCCUCCGUUCUGUACCGUGAAAGAGGAGGAGGAGGAGAAGAAGAAGCCGAAGGAGCGCCGCCCCUACCUGACGUCGGAGAUGGCGGAGGCGACGAGACCGGGGCAGAGACGACGAGGCCUGGGCGGCGGCGCUUCGCGGCGGGGGGUGAAGCAGAAGAUGGCAGAGGCGACAAGGUCGGGGGCGGCGGCGCUUCGCGGCAGGGGGCGAAGCAGGAGAUG